rnacentral:rRNA from 1 species
UACGUAGGGGGCAAGCGUUGUCCGGAUUUAUUGGGCGUAAAGAGCGUGUAGGCGGUUAGGUAGGUCCGUUGUGAAAACUCGAGGCUCAACCUCGAGACGCCGAUGGAAACCAUCUGACUAGAGUCCGGAAGAGGAGAGUGGAAUUCCUGGUGUAGCGGUGAAAUGCGCAGAUAUCAGGAAGAACACCCGUGGCGAAAGCGGCGCACUGGACCACAUCUGACGCUGAGGCGCGAAAGCUAGGGGAGCAAACAGG